GAUAAGGGCCAUAGCACAUUGCAUGAACCAGUUCCCAAAGGAUCAAUGAAUUUAAGCAAUGUUACACGUGGCUGGUAUCCGAAUAGGUUACCAAUCUGGCACCUGGGGCAAUCACGUGCUGUCUUUU
rnacentral:rRNA from 1 species